UGGCCGCGCCUCCGCCCGCCCCGGGCUCGCCGCCGGCCCCGCCGCCCGCGGCAGGGGAGGGGAGGGUACGAAAAGAAACAAAGCGCAUGAAAGGAAGGAAGGGCCCUCAGCGCUCAGCAGCCAGGAGACCGCUGGGGACAGGGACCUGCCGCUUCCGCGAUGCUGCGCAGGAGGUCUGUGGUAGGAAUUGCCAGAGCUCUUGCUGCCUGCUUCCAGUUUAGGAGAUUCACCACCCUCUUUUUGCUCAUUCCCUUUUCCACAGUCAAAGAGCAUAAAGCACAAAAUGCCUUCUAUCGAGCAAAAGACAAACAAAGAAAUGCAACCAUCCAAAACCCAAGCCAAAGUGCAUCUGGCUUGGGAUGAAUACUGGACCAUGUCAGCUGGGAGUGAGAAUUUUUCAGAAGGCUGGACUCCAGUCCAAAACGGACCCUGUCAUUUGGAGUCUGAAUAUGAAAACAGCUUGCAAAACAUUUUUUCAAGCUUCUGACAAAA